UGGUGGAGUGAUUUGUCUGGUUGAUUCCGUUAACGAACGAGACCUCGACCUACUUACUAGUCUGAUUCAUCUUCGGAUGGUAUUCAGUACUUCUUAGAGGGACUAUCGGUGUGUAGCCGAUGGAAGUUCGAGGCAAUAACA
rnacentral:rRNA from 1 species